UGUUCUUCACUUUGUGUACAUUUUAUAAUCGAACCUAGCAUCAUGGUCAUGCUCUUUGAUGGAAUUUGGAGCUCUGUCUCCUAAUGUGCCAAAAGGAGAAAUUUCAAAACAAUUCACCUUUUCUGCUAAUGGUGCAAAUCUUUUUAACUCUAUGCCACAACUCCUUGCAUUUAUAUUUAUUUUAUCUGAAAAAAAGAGCCUAUUUUAGCACAACUCCUUUCACUUUGGAGAUAGCAAGGUUAUUAAUUUUGCAGUAUUAUGUGGCUGUUUUUUUCUUCAGAUACUUGCACAUUGUAUUAUCCCAAAUGAUUGCGGAACCAAUUUAUGGGAAAGCUAAAUAUUGGAUUAAAGGAUAGUUAUUUGGAGCUCUUAAAAGUCAUUUACACGACACCAACAAAAAAUGGAUGAUAGCAACAUUGUUUACAAUUGGUGCUCUCACAUCUGCAAUGAGACAACCGGUUGAGGAGUCAAGCAAGAAUUCUUUCAGAUGUUAUGAAAUGCCUUGGCGACAAUGAAAAGCAAAUGCGAGAGUGCACUUUGUUUACUUUAGACUCUUGGCUUGUUGCUGGCCAUCUUGACAAAAAGGUCCCUUAUGUAACUGCUGUUCUCAAGGACAGUAAGUUUGGUGGGUAAGGGCGCAACGAUCCUUUUGACUGGUUGUCAAGACAACUUGCUGGACUGUCCGAUUUUGAUUUUCCUCUAAAACCCUAUACAUCUGAUGAAUCAGCACAUGUUCGUAAAGCUGCUGAAGCAUGCUUUAAUGAGAAAUAUUCAGGGUUUGUGGACUCGAAAUGGCAUGUGACAAAAAAUUUGAAAAAUGUACAAGGUUCUGCUUUAGCUAUUGUUAUUGUUGUGGAACAAUUGAAACUCUAUAGGGUUUUCAGAAAACUUCGAAUCUGGUAGAUUGAUUUCAGCAGCCAUAACAUCCAAAACCAUCUCAAAGGUUGGAAAAUCAAAUGCUUAUGGUGAUCGUGCAUUUUCAUCAAG